rnacentral:rRNA from 1 species
GUGUACGUACAAGCAGUGGGAGCACCCUUUGGGGUGUGACUGCGUACCUUUUGUAUAAUGGGUCAGCGACUUAUAUUCUGUAGCAAGGUUAACCGAAUAGGGGAGCCGGAGGGAAACCGAGUCUUAACCGGGCGUUAAGUUGCAGGGUAUAGACCCGAAACCCGGUGAUCUAGCCAUGGGCAGGUUGAAGGUUGGGUAACACUAACUGGAGGACCGAACCGACUAAUGUUGAAAAAUUAGCGGAUGACCUGUGGCUGGGGGUGAAAGGCCAAUCAAACCGGGAGAUAGCUGGUUCUCCCCGAAAGCUAUUUAGGUAGCGCCUCGUGAAUUCAUCUCCGGGGGUAGAGCACUGUUUCGGCUAGGGGGCCAUCCCGGCUUACCAACCCGAUGCAAACUGCGAAUACCGGAGAAUGUUAUCACGGGAGACACACGGCGGGUGCUAACGUCCGUCGUGAAGAGGGAAACAACCCAGACCGCCAGCUAAGGUCCCAAAGUCAUGGUUAAGUGGGAAACGAUGUGGGAAGGCCCAGACAGCCAGGAUGUUGGCUUAGAAGCAGCCAUCAUUUAAAGAAAGCGUAAUAGCUCACUGGUCGAGUCGGCCUGCGCGGAAGAUGUAACGGGGCUAAACCAUGCACCGAAGCUGCGGCAGCGACGCUGAUGCGUUGUUGGGUAGGGGAGCGUUCUGUAAGCCUGCGAAGGUGGCCUGUGAGGGUUGCUGGAGGUAUCAGAAGUGCGAAUGCUGACAUAAGUAACGAUAAAGCGGGUGAAAAGCCCGCUCGCCGGAAGACCAAGGGUUCCUGUCCAACGUUAAUCGGGGCAGGGUGAGUCGACCCCUAAGGCGAGGCCGAAAGGCGUAGUCGAUGGGAAACGGGUUAAUAUUCCCGUACUUGGUGUUACUGCGAAGGGGGGACGGAGAAGGCUAUGUUGGCCGGGCGACGGUUGUCCCGGUUUAAGCGUGUAGGUGUGUGUUCCAGGUAAAUCCGGUUCACUUUAACACUGAGGCGUGAUGACGAGGCACUACGGUGCUGAAGCAACAAAUGCCCUGCUUCCAGGAAAAGCCUCUAAGCAUCAGGUAACAUCAAAUCGUACCCCAAACCGACACAGGUGGUCAGGUAGAGAAUACCAAGGCGCUUGAGAGAACUCGGGUGAAGGAACUAGGCAAAAUGGUGCCGUAACUUCGGGAGAAGGCACGCUGACACGUAGGUGAAGUGAUUUACUCAUGGAGCUGAAGUCAGUCGAAGAUACCAGCUGGCUGCAACUGUUUAUUAAAAACACAGCACUGUGCAAACACGAAAGUGGACGUAUACGGUGUGACGCCUGCCCGGUGCCGGAAGGUUAAUUGAUGGGGUCAGCGCAAGCGAAGCUCCUGAUCGAAGCCCCGGUAAACGGCGGCCGUAACUAUAACGGUCCUAAGGUAGCGAAAUUCCUUGUCGGGUAAGUUCCGACCUGCACGAAUGGCGUAAUGAUGGCCAGGCUGUCUCCACCCGAGACUCAGUGAAAUUGAACUCGCUGUGAAGAUGCAGUGUACCCGCGGCAAGACGGAAAGACCCCGUGAACCUUUACUAUAGCUUGACACUGAACAUUGAGCCUUGAUGUGUAGGAUAGGUGGGAGGCUUUGAAGUGUGGACGCCAGUCUGCAUGGAGCCGGCCUUGAAAUACCACCCUUUAAUGUUUGAUGUUCUAACGUGGACCCGUGAUCCGGGUUGCGGACAGUGUCUGGUGGGUAGUUUGACUGGGGCGGUCUCCUCCUAAAGAGUAACGGAGGAGCACGAAGGUUGGCUAAUCCUGGUCGGACAUCAGGAGGUUAGUGCAAUGGCAUAAGCCAGCUUGACUGCGAGCGUGACGGCGCGAGCAGGUGCGAAAGCAGGUCAUAGUGAUCCGGUGGUUCUGAAUGGAAGGGCCAUCGCUCAACGGAUAAAAGGUACUCCGGGGAUAACAGGCUGAUACCGCCCAAGAGUUCAUAUCGACGGCGGUGUUUGGCACCUCGAUGUCGGCUCAUCACAUCCUGGGGCUGAAGUAGGUCCCAAGGGUAUGGCUGUUCGCCAUUUAAAGUGGUACGCGAGCUGGGUUUAGAACGUCGUGAGACAGUUCGGUCCCUAUCUGCCGUGGGCGCUGGAGAACUGAGGGGGGCUGCUCCUAGUACGAGAGGACCGGAGUGGACGCAUCACUGGUGUUCGGGUUGUCAUGCCAAUGGCACUGCCCGGUAGCUAAAUGCGGAAGAGAUAAGUGCUGAAAGCAUCUAAGCACGAAACUUGCCCCGAGAUGAGUUCUCCCUGAGACUUAGAGUCUCCUGAAGGAACGUUGAAGACGACGACGUUGAUAGGCCGGGUGUGUAAGCGCAGCGAUGCGUUGAGCUAACCGGUACUAAUGAACCGUGAGGCUUAACCUU